rnacentral:lncRNA from 1 species
CCCAAUCUACUAUGCCAAAGGUACCACAACUGUUCCGAAUUAAGUUUAACAACAUAACUAGAAGAAAAAGAAAUACCAAAACUACCGGAUCUCGUGGAAUGCUCGGUAUCGCCGGUUGACCGAGAUUGACUACCCAUAUCCAAAGCUUCCUAGUAAAUUUUUUGGCCAUAUCUACUCUCUUGUCCCAGUAUCUUCAUUGCCUGCGGAUCCUGAACCACACAACCAGAGGCACCAAAAACAAUUGUAGCCAGAUGCAAUUAAUUGACAAACAUAAACUAAAUUCGGAACAAGUUUGGGCACAUGAAAAGUAGCAGGCUAAGCGAGAGUAAAUGUUUCAACAGUCCCAAUGCCAGCAACAGGUAACUUUUGACCAUUAGCAACAUUAAUAAAGGGAUUUGUAAUAGGAGUAUAACUAAGAAACAAAUUGGCAUCACUUGUCAUAUGAUUGAUGCAUCAGAAUCAAGAAACCAAGGUUAAGCAGAACUUUUACAUGAAAGACCAAUAGUCGAGAAGGCUGAGGUAAUUGCUUGAGGGAGAACGCAUACGAGUUCUUCUUGAACCAGUUGAGCAAUAUUAAGGGAAGGAGUCGAGCUGUUCACCGAAGCAGAAUCUUGAUCAGUAUAACUGGUAGCACCAUAACUAGGAGAAAACUUUUCGCGAUGACCAGGAGCACGACAGUCAGAGAUAUUGUGACCGAUACGCUUACAGUAGUUGCAAAUGUUACGUUUCCUGCAGAUAAACUGCGGAUGACCAAACUCUUGACAAAAUGAGCACUUAAUUGGACCAGGAGAAGCAGUUGUUGAUUUGGGAUUAAUAUGUUGAGAAGAACCAAUUGAGACAGCCGGUUGGGCACCCGAUUUCGAGUAGAACUGGAGACUGGUACCGCUUCCACGACCAGUCGGCCGACCAACAUAAAAAACAGAGGCUGAACUCCCUUGCCCGUCGAGGAUUGCCUGAGUGUGAAACUAGGUUUCUGCCCGAAUCAGCUCGCUUAGUGUAUCCUGGAUAUCCAUCUUGUCUUCCGCAAUUAAUCGAGAGCGAACUUGCUCGUAUUCGGGACGAAGCCACAUCAAAAACUGAAAAUUAUGGCGACCUUGUCGUUCCUUAAUAAUAGUAGAAUCGGCCGCCGCAGUCAAUCGAGGAAAGGAAAUCAAGUUCCCCAUGGUACUAUUUUUUAUCCGCCUAGUGACGUAGCUAGACACUUAAGUGAAGCUUCUAUGAGAACAUGUCGAACAAGUACUCUUUUUCUGCUUCUCCUAACCGUAAAAUUCGGAGGAGGAAAUUAUAUU